UUUCAACUUUGUUGAACUUGAAUGUCUUCACUGACGCGGCUCAUUUUUAACCAAGUCCAUCCCAAGGAGAUAGCUGGUGAAGCCUUCAGUGGAAUCCUCAGCAAUUGUAUGAAAACUUGAAGUGUGUUUUCUUAUCAUGAAAACGCAGAUGCCUACUAGUUUUAAAGCAUUCUUCUUGAUUUAGGCAUUUGAUCAGUGAGUGGUGCAGACAUUUUCAGUGCAGUGCUAAUUGUUUGAUAAUGAAGAUAGAAGCUGCGGGUGCAAUAUUACCAAGAUUCAUAAAGCGAUCUGUCUCAUCAAGUCCGCCUCGGUCAAGAUGCAAAUGCAGGGAAAGAAACCUACUCCUGUUGGUUGUGGGCACAUUCGCACUGAUCUGCUUCGGUACAAUAUUCUACCUGCCCGAUCUGGGAGAGGGACUGUGGCGGCUGGAGCGCCUGAAGCGCGUGCAGAAGCGCGUGGGUGACGUGGGCGGUGACCUGCUGCUGCCGGUGCCGCCCCCGGCCCCUGGACGGCCCGGGGCGGCCGAGGACCGGCGCCGGCUCUACAGCAAGGCGCAGGAGGCGGCGGCACCGGCCUCGGGCGGCUCAGCGGCCCCGGUGCCCCCCGAUCCGCUACACCCGGUCAUCUCGGGCGGCGAGGACCCCGACCCCGUGAUGCGCUUCAGACGCCGCAAAAUCAAAGAGAUGAUGCGUCACGCCUGGAAGGGGUACGUGACGUACGCGUGGGGCGAGGACGAGCUGCGACCGGUGAGCCGGCGCGGCCGCUCGGCCGGCAUGUUCGGCCGCCAGGCCAUGGGCGCCACCAUCGUGGACGCCCUGGACACCCUGCUCAUCAUGGGCCUGGAGCAGGAGUUCAGCGAGGCGCGACUCUGGGUCAAACAGAAACUCGACCUGGCGCACGUGACCUCGGAGGUUUCUGUGUUCGAGGUGAACAUUCGCUACGUGGGCGGCCUGCUCGCGUGCUUCGCGCUCACCGGAGACGCCCUCUUCAGAGACAAAGCGGAGGAGAUUGCUCGCGCUCUGCUGCCGGCGUUCGACACCCCCACCGGCAUACCGUACGCCAUGGUGGUGCCCGCCACCGGGCGGGCCAAGAACUUCGGCUGGGCCUCGAUGGGCGGCUCGAUCCUCUCAGAGUUCGGUACUUUACACAUGGAGUUCAGCUAUCUCUCGGACGUCACUGGGCAGCCCGUGUUCAGGGAGAAGGUGCGCCGCGUGCGCGACCAGCUGGCGCGGAUGGACACCCCGGGCGGACUGUUUCCCAACUACCUGCACCCGGUCACCGGCGACUGGGGACAGCACCACACGUCUGUGGGUGCGCUGGGCGACUCGUUCUACGAGUACCUGCUCAAGGAGUGGCUCCGCUCCGGCGGCGACGACCGCCAGGCGCUGCGGAUGUUCCAGCUGGCUAUGGGUAACAUCACCGACCGGCUGGUGAAGACCUCCGACCAGUCGGGCCUCACGUUCGUGGCCGAGAUGCACCGCGAACGACUCAGCUACAAGAUGGACCACCUGGCCUGCUUCAUAGGCGGGCUGUACGCUCUGGCUGCGGCCAAGGACCCGGAGACGGACACGGACCGUUACCUGGAGCUGGGCCGGCAGAUCACGGCCACGUGUCACGAGUCCUAUGACCGCACCGCCACCAAACUGGGUCCCGAGAGCUUCCGGUACGUACAAAACGUGACUCGUUUAUUGUCCAUCCCUUCCUGGCUGUUAAAGCGGAACUGCCAGCAGGAUGUUGUUUGCAAAAUUGGAACUAGAAAAUGGGUUGCAAAGAUCCUCAUAUAGAGCUUGCCCUUGUUUUCCUGCUGACGUUUGGCUUGAAGCAACAUUUAACUGUUCAGUAAUUUUCAAAAUAAUCAGACCUGUGCUAUGGUUAAUUUGAUAUCUUGAUGCACCCUUCGAAUGUUAUUGAACCGUUAAUAUUCUCAACAGAUAUCAGAGAAGAAACCUGACAAAUAAUAUUUGUCAGGUAUUAUCAUGCAUAGUUUCUGAUAGAUGUCAUGGUUAUCAGUGCUCGCCUAUCACCUAGAACGGCGCUGACAGUUGUAACGCGCCGACAGGUUCACGGACCAGGUGGAGGCACGUCCGCUGCUCCAGCAGGAAAAGUACUACAUCCUGCGGCCGGAGGUCAUCGAGAGUUACUUCGUACUGUGGCGGCUCACGGGCGACCCCAAGUACCGAGACUGGGGGUGGCAGGCGGCUCAGGCUAUCGAGCAGUUUUGCCGAGUCGAGGCGGGCUUCUCGGGAAUCAAGGACGUCGACUCGCUGUGGCCUGAACAUGACGAUGUGCAGCAGAGCUUCUUUUUGGCCGAGACGCUCAAGUACCUGUACCUACUGUUCAGCGACUCGGAGCUUCUCUCGCUGGACCAGUGGGUGUUCAACACGGAGGCGCACCCGCUGCCGAUCCGGGGGGCCAACCAGCUGUACCGGCAGACAGACGUCGGGUAGACGAACGGACACCCUCCGCUGGACAGUUGUGAGUCGGCUGGAGGAAAUCAUCUCCGUCAGCAGUGCCGAGUAGAUGCUGCAAACUCUACAGCCCUACCGUCUACAGUGCUGUUGUCGGCUAGAAGUAUAGGCACUAGCACUGCGGCUGUCAGCUGAUCUAGCUCUGUCCAGCAGCUAUCUAGUUGCGCUCAAUCCCAACAACUGUCUGGGACCCACCAAUAUUCGGCAGCUGUCUGAGGGCCUACGUCCUUUGUCAGACAGCUGUCUGUCUUUAUCGACAGGAUCGACGUUUUUGUGUUCUUGAAUUCAAGAACAAGUCAAUCAUUAAUGACUAGAAUUUUUGUUUAAUCAGCGUCAGCCCAUUAGUCCUGAUAUGUACAGGGUAAUCUUAUAUGUACUGCUUUGUACAAUUUCAGGUAUAUUGCCAUGCCUUUGAUAACAUCUUUUUAGGUAGACAAUCUUGUUAUAGUUUAUAUCACCGUGAAACAGUUCACUUUAUUAUGUCACCCCUGCAUUUUUACGUCCUUAGAUUCAGGCCAGCAAUCAAUGUGCCAUAUUAACAUUUCAUGAAUGUCAUUGUAGCACAGCUCAUAUCAAUGCUGAUUGUUGACGAGUUGUUAUGCGACUUUUAUAAACGUUUUAUUUGCGUUGCCAGUUGGAACUUCCGGUUCAUGUUAUAGAUGAACUUACUGGAAGAAUUGGGACAGUUCAAGCGUAAUUUUACGAAGUCCAUGAAUCCGAGCUUUUCAUACUGAUCUGCUCGUUGUGAACGGGGGCUGAGCCGUUCCUCUGCGUUGAUUGUCCAAGUGUCUGGGACGUCGGACGUUUGAGGGCAACACUGGUUGAGGGCAUUUGACUCUCAAUCGGUCCGUGUAACUCGCGCCUUCCCACGUGUUGGGGACCCGCGUUGGGCGAAGGCUGGCCUUUUCAGGCGCCACUAAGUGUUCCCACUGCACUAACGGCUGUGCUGAGUGCCUAGACCAUCGUGCCGAUGACGAUCGUCAUGUGACCGUAUUCGCGAUGUGAUUGUUAUCUAAUUCCCCAAUUGAAGUGAAAUCAGGUGUUUCUUGUGAAAUCAGUGAUCAGGUGAAGUGAAAUCAUGUGAAGUGUUCAGCUGGUGUCUGAACGUUGUGAGAGUUUGGAGUGUAUCGCAUCUACACUCACCGGCGUUUGACAGUCUUCCAUUGAUAUUGUGUGGAAUCUGGCUAAGUAUCACUGCAUCGUUGUGAAUGUAUCGCGCACGGGGAAGGGGACCACUCUAUGGGUCAUUCUUAAUUCCUGGUGAUGUCAACCAGAAUCAUGGCACUGUGAUUAUCUUACGUCCUUCUGGUUGAAUCACCAAUGUGAUAAUCGAUGAAUAACGAUCAUAUUCUGCCGCGUGUGUUGCGAUUUUACAUCAUUGGUUGUGACCAUUGAAAGGUCCUGAGCCUUCACUGCAAAUGCGCAUAUCAUCUCGCUGUCUCUCAUGUGAUCUCUACAAUAUAGACAUUUCAUCUCCAAA